rnacentral:misc_RNA from 1 species
UCCGGGUUUCGCCCGGCAGUCUCCCUAGAACAUUCAACUAAGGACAGGGGUUGCGCUCGUUGCGGGACUUAACCCAACACCUCACAGCACGAGCUGACGACAGCCAUGCAGCACCUGUGUAAUUGUCCCUUGCGGGAAGACGCACUUUCGUGCGCUGUCAACUACAUGUCAAACCUGGGUAAGGUUCUUCGCGUAGCCUCGAAUUAAACCACAUGCUCCACCGCUUGUGCGGGUCCCCGUCAAUUUCUUUGAGUUUCAGUCUUGCGACCGUACUCCCCAGGUGGUGGAUUUAAUGCGUUAGCUGCGGCGCUGGAGGGAUCGACACCCCCAACACCUAAUCCACAUCGUUUACGGCAAGGACUAC